AAAUUGAAGAGUUUGAUCAUGGCUCAGAUUGAACGCUGGCGGCAGGCCUAACACAUGCAAGUCGAACGGUAACAGGAAUCAGCUUGCUGAUUCGCUGACGAGUGGCGGACGGGUGAGUAAUGUCUGGGAAACUGCCUGAUGGAGGGGGAUAACUACUGGAAACGGUAGCUAAUACCGCAUAAUGUCGCAAGACCAAAGAGGGGGACCUUCGGGCCUCUUGCCAUCGGAUGUGCCCAGAUGGGAUUAGCUUGUUGGUGAGGUAACGGCUCACCAAGGCGACGAUCCCUAGCUGGUCUGAGAGGAUGACCAGCCACACUGGAACUGAGACACGGUCCAGACUCCUACGGGAGGCAGCAGUGGGGAAUAUUGCACAAUGGGCGCAAGCCUGAUGCAGCCAUGCCGCGUGUAUGAAGAAGGCCUUCGGGUUGUAAAGUACUUUCAGCGGGGAGGAAGGGAGUAAAGUUAAUACCUUUGCUCAUUGACGUUACCCGCAGAAGAAGCACCGGCUAACUCCGUGCCAGCAGCCGCGGUAAUACGGAGGGUGCAAGCGUUAAUCGGAAUUACUGGGCGUAAAGCGCACGCAGGCGGUUUGUUAAGUCAGAUGUGAAAUCCCCGGGCUCAACCUGGGAACUGCAUCUGAUACUGGCAAGCUUGAGUCUCGUAGAGGGGGGUAGAAUUCCAGGUGUAGCGGUGAAAUGCGUAGAGAUCUGGAGGAAUACCGGUGGCGAAGGCGGCCCCCUGGACGAAGACUGACGCUCAGGUGCGAAAGCGUGGGGAGCAAACAGGAUUAGAUACCCUGGUAGUCCACGCCGUAAACGAUGUCGACUUGGAGGUUGUGCCCUUGAGGCGUGGCUUCCGGAGCUAACGCGUUAAGUCGACCGCCUGGGGAGUACGGCCGCAAGGUUAAAACUCAAAUGAAUUGACGGGGGCCCGCACAAGCGGUGGAGCAUGUGGUUUAAUUCGAUGCAACGCGAAGAACCUUACCUGGUCUUGACAUCCACGGAAGUUUUCAGAGAUGAGAAUGUGCCUUCGGGAACCGUGAGACAGGUGCUGCAUGGCUGUCGUCAGCUCGUGUUGUGAAAUGUUGGGUUAAGUCCCGCAACGAGCGCAACCCUUAUCCUUUGUUGCCAGCGGUCCGGCCGGGAACUCAAAGGAGACUGCCAGUGAUAAACUGGAGGAAGGUGGGGACGACGUCAAGUCAUCAUGGCCCUUACGACCAGGGCUACACACGUGCUACAAUGGCGCAUACAAAGAGAAGCGACCUCGCGAGAGCAAGCGGACCUCAUAAAGUGCGUCGUAGUCCGGAUUGGAGUCUGCAACUCGACUCCAUGAAGUCGGAAUCGCUAGUAAUCGUGGAUCAGAAUGCCACGGUGAAUACGUUCCCGGGCCUUGUACACACCGCCCGUCACACCAUGGGAGUGGGUUGCAAAAGAAGUAGGUAGCUUAACCUUCGGGAGGGCGCUUACCACUUUGUGAUUCAUGACUGGGGUGAAGUCGUAACAAGGUAACCGUAGGGGAACCUGCGGUUGGAUCACCUCCUU
rnacentral:rRNA from 1 species